CUCCGAAGAAACAGGAGCGCAGCAGCAGUGAGGACAGUUCCAGCGACUCUGAAGAGGAGGAACCAGCUAAGACCCCUCCUGCCAAGCCUGCCGCCCCAGCAGAGUCCAGCAGUGAAGAGGACUCUUCAGAUGAGGAGGAGGAGGCCCCUCCCAGCAAGAAACCCAAAGCCGGGCAGUACAGUGCGGUCCCUCCCCCGUCCUCCGGGCAAAGUAACUCCACCCCAGCAGGGGGCAACAAGGCCAAAGCAAAAGAGGACUUCUCUGACAGCAGUGAACGACAGCAGUGAUGAAGAGGAGGAUGAGAAGAAGGCACCUGCUGCUGGUAGGAACUGAACUGCAAGUUAGUUCUCUGUUGCAGUUGCCCUGGUGUAGCUGUUGCCUGUU
rnacentral:lncRNA from 1 species